AACAUGAUGUACUUUUAUGCGAGUCUGAAAGAAAAUUAUACUUCAGAUUAAAGAUACCAAGAAAAUUCAUUUAUGGCCUAACUACUUAAAAAGCAUAUAAAGGACUAACAAUCCCUGACAGAUCCAGGCAGAGGUAGGUCAGUUGAGGAAUGGUUGAGCUGAUUCUGUUGAACAGCGUAUGGCGAAGGUCUUUGGUUUCAUCAAGGACUAGGGAUGGGCAAUGGUUAUAAUGGGCGGGUAACCGUGCUUAUUUACCCAUAACCAUUUAUAUUCAUACCUGUAUAACUGUUUACCCAUUGGGUAAUUGUAUAAAUGGUUAUACCCAUAACCAUAACCGUUUAUAAACGAUUAUCCAUACCCAUAACCGUGUACCCAUUUAACCAUAACUAUUUACCCUAGGGCUGGGUUCGGUUUGAAAUGGUUCGGUUUUUAGCAAAAAACGAAACCAAACCGAAAUUUCGGUUCGGUUCGGUUCAAAUUUUUUCGGUUCGGUUUUUUUCGGUUUUGGUUUUUUUUGGUUUGGUUUCAGUCCGGUUCGGUUUUUUCCAUGAUUUUUUUUAAUUUGUAACAAAUCUGCAACGAUUGAUUGCGAGCACUGAAGAUGCAAAAACUUAUUGGGUGUUGGUGUAAAUGAAUAUGAACUAGAACAAAUCUGCAAAUCUACAUUGGAAUAAAUCUGCAAAUAAAUACGAACUGGAACAAAUCUGCAAAUGAAUACAAAAAUUACAAUAUAAAAUCCCAACAAAUCUGCAAAGAUUAUAACAUGCAAAAUCCCAACUAAUAAUUAAAAGAAAAACCCAUUUUAAUUCAGUAAAUCACAAUAUAAAAUCCCAACAAAUCUGCAAAUGAAUACGAAAAUUACAAUAUAAAAUCCCAACAAAUCUGCAAAGAUUAUAACAUGAAAAAUCCCAACAAAUAAUUAAAAGAAAAACCCAUUUUAAUUCAGUAAAUCACAAUAUAAAAUUAUAAAUCAUAUUAGUUUUGAUUCAAAAAUUACCUGUGAGAGAUCGGAAAACCCGGAUUAGAAUCUUCCAAUUUGGAGGGGGUUCUGAUUCGAAAGGGGCGAGGGAAAAUCAUGGUUUGGAAGAAGGAAUCCGCGAGGAGGACAUGAAAAGACUGGAGAGGGAGUGAUUUGGAGGAAGAAAGGAAGGAGAGAGAGAGAGAAAGAGAGAGAGGCUGAGGAAGCAAAGGCAAAGAGAGGAAGUAGCGGAGGGGAGAGUGUUUGAAAUCUGAAAUGGGAAGUGAGACAAAGUGUGAGACGGCUAGGGUUUGUAGAGUUAAG
rnacentral:lncRNA from 1 species